GACAGAGGUCCCAAGCGUUAGGCGGAAUCACUGGGCUUAAAGCGUGUGUAGGCGGCUCCGUAAGUAUCUUGUGAAAUCCCACGGCUCCACCGUGGAACUGCUGGGUAUACUGCGGGUCUUGAGCCACCUAGGGGCGAGCGGAACAAGUGGUGGAGCGGUGAAAUGCGUAGAUAUCACUUGGAACGCCAAUGGUGAAAACAGCUCGCUGGGGGUGUGCUGACGCUGAGACACGAAAGCCAGGGGAGCAAACGGG
rnacentral:rRNA from 1 species